rnacentral:lncRNA from 1 species
UAAUCGCGUGAGAUGCUAUGGUGAGAAUGUAAGAAGAGGACGAUGUUGAUCAGUGAAAGCUGGUGGGAUGUGCAUUGUUUAGAAGCACCACAGCAGUGGAGAGCACUUCACCCAGGAGAAGAGCAAAGACUCCAGAGGAUGGGAGUAUGGCAGCCCUCCAGAGCAAACUCUCAUCGUAUCAGGAGCUGUAGUGAAGGUAAGAUGGCCCGGUAGUGGUUUGUACUGUUAUCAUUAA